rnacentral:rRNA from 1 species
UACGGAGGGGGCUAGCGUUGUUCGGAAUUACUGGGCGUAAAAGCGCACGUAGGCGGCUUUGUAAGUUAGAGGUGAAAGCCCGGGGCUCAACUCCGGAAUUGCCUUUAAGACUGCAUCGCUAGAAUUGUGGAGAGGUAAGUGGAAUUCCGAGUGUAGAGGUGAAAUUCGUAGAUAUUCGGAAGAACACCAGUGGCGAAGGCGACUUACUGGACACAUAUUGACGCUGAGGUGCGAAAGCGUGGGGAGCAAACAGG